rnacentral:rRNA from 2 species
UUUUUAGUGGCGAACGGGUGAGUAACACGUGAGAAUCUGCCUUUAGGAAGAGGAUAACAUUUAGAAAUAUUUGCUAAUACUCUAUAUGCUUUACAGUGAAAGAAUUUAUUCGCCUAAAGAGGAGCUCGCGUCUGAUUAGCUAGUUGGUAGGGUAAAGGCCUACCAAGGCGACGAUCAGUAGUUGGUCUGAGAGGACGGCCAGCCACAUUGGAACUGAGACACGGUCCAGACUCUUACGGGAGGCAGCAGUGAGGAAUUUUCUGCAAUGGGCGCAAGCCUGACAGAGCAAUACCGCGUGAGGGAUGACUGCCUACGGGUUGUAAACCUCUUUUCUCAAGGAGGAAGAUCUGACGUUACUUGAGGAAUAAGCAUCGGCUAACCCUGUGCCAGCAGCCGCGGUAAUACAGGGGAUGCAAGUGUUAUCCGGAAUUAUUGGGCGUAAAGCGUCUGCAGGUUGAUCUACAAGUCUUUUGUUAAAUUUUCAGGCUUAACCUGAAGUCAGCAAAAGAAACUGUUUAUCUUGAGUAUGGUAGAGGUAAGGGGAAUUUCCAGUGGAGCGGUGAAAUGCGUAGAUAUUGGAAAGAACACCAACAGCGAAGGCACCUUACUGGGCCAUUACUGACACUCAGAGACGAAAGCUAGGGUAGCAAACGGGAUUAGAUACCCCGGUAGUCCUAGCCGUAAACGAUGGAUACUAGAUGUUGUGUACUUUAAUAGUAUGCAGUGUCGUAGCUAACGCG